rnacentral:rRNA from 1 species
AUUGAACGCUGGCGGCAGGCCUAACACAUGCAAGUCGAACGCGUGGCGGACGGGUGAGUAAUGUCUGGGAAACUGCCCGAUGGAGGGGGAUAACUACUGGAAACGGUAGCUAAUACCGCAUACCAUCGGAUGUGCCCAGAUGGGAUUAGCUAGUGGGUGGGGUAACGGCUCACCUAGGCGUCGAUCCCUAGCUGGGCUGAGAGGCUGACCGGCCAAACUGGAACUGAGACACGGUCCAGACGCCUACGGGAGGCAGCAGUGGGGAAUAUUGCACAAUGGGCGAAAGCCUGAUGCAGCAAUGCCGCGUGUAUGAAGAAGGCCUUCGGGUUGUAAAGUACUGUUAGCGAGGAGGCGUUACUCGCAGAGAAAGCACCGGCUAACUCCGUGCCAGCAGCCGCGGUAAUUC